rnacentral:rRNA from 1 species
GUGCCAGACUCCUACGGGAGGCAGCAGUGGGGGAUAUUGCACAAUGGGGGAAACCCUGAUGCAGCAACGCCGCGUGAGUGAAGAAGUAUCUCGGUAUGUAAAGCUCUAUCAGCAGGGAAGAAGAUGACGGUACCUGAGUAAGAAGCCCCGGCUAACUACGUGCCAGCAGCCGCGGUAAUACGUAGGGGGCAAGCGUUAUCCGGAUUUACUGGGUGUAAAGGGAGCGUAGACGGCCAGGCAAGUCUGGAGUGAAAGCCCGGGGCUCAACCCCGGGACUGCUUUGGAAACUGCCAGGCUGGAGUGCUGGAGAGGCAAGCGGAAUUCCUAGUGUAGCGGUGAAAUGCGUAGAUAUUAGGAGGAACACCAGUGGCGAAGGCGGCUUACUGGACGGCAACUGACGCUGAGGCUCGAAAGCGUGGGGAGCAAACAGGAUUAGAUACCCCCGUAGU